GGAAGAUCUAAGGGCUCAAUCUCAAAUCUGAUUUUGGAAACGUGAUCUACGCGUGUGGAUCUACGUUUUGACCGAUUAUUUUGAGGUGUUGGCUAUUUGGAAUUUUCUGGAGGCUACCCAAGCCUUGGGUAUUAGUUGGUGAACUUUGGCGGCACUUUGUGGGUCGAAUCUUGAGUUGUUGGAAUUUGGGAGUAUAAGCAGCUCAAGAUGGAGCUUCUUUGGCUACAGGUACACCCGACUUGGAGGAUGACCCCGUAGCUUUGUAUUUGGGAUACUAUGACUAGAGCAUGACGCGACAGUUGUAGUGCUAUGGACCGCGGGUUGUCCAUACUUUUGGGUAUUUUGUAUAUGGCUCGUGACAAAUGCGUCACUUAUUCUUUUGUGUAGCCAUCCUUUUGUAAUAGUUGUAAUGAUGUUAAGCCUUAAACAGUUAGACAUGUAAAUGGCUCUUUUGUGUAAACAAUAUGUUUAUAUUUAGAUAUGCUUUUCCGCUGAGUUAA